rnacentral:tRNA from 1 species
UCCUCUGUAGCUCAACCGGCAGAGCGACCGGCUGUUAACCGGUAGGUUGGUGGUUCGAGUCCACCCGGAGGAG